rnacentral:rRNA from 1 species
CCUACGGGAGGCAGCAGUGAGGAAUAUUGGUCAAUGGGCGUGAGCCUGAACCAGCCAAGUAGCGUGAAGGAUGACUGUUCUACGGGUUGUAAACCUCUUUUAUAAAGGAAUAAAGUGAGGCACGUGUGCCGUUUUGUAUGUACUUUAUGAAUAAGGAUCGGCUAACUCCGUGCCAGCAGCCGCGGUAAUACGGAGGAUCCGAGCGUUAUCCGGAUUUAUUGGGUUUAAAGGGUGCGUAGAUGGGUUGUUAAGUCAGUUGUGAAAGUUUGCGGCUCAACCGUAAAAUUGCCGUUGAUACUGGCAGUCUUGAGUACAGUUGAGGUAGGCGGAAUGCGUGGUGUAGCGGUGAAAUGCUUAGAUAUCACGAAGAACUCCGAUUGCGAAGGCAGCUUGCUAAGCUACCACUGACAGUGAUGCACGAAAGUGUGGGGAUCAAACAGGAUUUGAUACCCGUGUAGUC